rnacentral:rRNA from 1 species
UACGUAGGGUCCGAGCGUUGUCCGGAAUUACUGGGCGUAAAGGGUGCGUAGGUGGUGAGGUAAGUCGGAUGUGAAAGCUCGGAGCUCAACUCCGAAAUGGCAUUGGAAACUACCUUGCUCGAGGGAUGGAGGGGGGACUGGAAUUCUCGGUGUAGCAGUGAAAUGCGUAGAUAUCGAGAGGAACACCAGUGGCGAAGGCGGGUCUCUGGACAGUUCCUGACGCUGAGGCACGAAGGUCAGGGGAGCAAACGGG